rnacentral:rRNA from 1 species
GACAGAGGAUGCAAGCGUUAUCCGGAAUCAUUGGGUUUAAAGGGUCCGUAGGCGGAUCUGUAAGUCAGUGGUGAAAUCUCCCCGCUCAACGGGGAAACUGCCAUUGAUACUGCAGAUCUUGAAUUAUCAGGAAGUAACUAGAAUAGUGUAGUGUAGCGGUGAAAUGCUUAGAGAUUACAUGGAAUACCGAUUGCGAAGGCAGGUUACUACUGGUGGAUUGACGCUGAUGGACGAAAGCGUGGGGAGCGAACAGG